rnacentral:misc_RNA from 1 species
UCUCCGUAGGUGAACCUGCGGAGGGAUCAUUACAGAGUUCAUGCCCUACCGGGUAGAUCUCCCACCCUAUGUUAUUAUUACUUUGUUGCUUCGGCGGGCCGUUAGGCUCCGGCCCGACUACCGGCCCCGGCUGGUAAGCACCCGCCAGAGGACCCAAAACCCUGAAUAUUAGUGUCGUCUGAGUACUAUAUAAUAGUUAAAACUUUCAACAACGGAUCUCUUGGUUCUC